rnacentral:tRNA from 1 species
GCCGAAGUGGCGGAAUUGGCAGACGCGCUAGGUUCAGGUCCUAGUGGGGAUAACACCCCGUGGAGGUUCGAGUCCUCUCUUCGGCA